rnacentral:rRNA from 1 species
UACGUAGGGGGCUAGCGUUGUCCGGACUUAUUGGGCGUAAAGAGCGUGUAGGCGGCCAGGUAGGUCUGCUGUGAAAACUCGAGGCUUAACCUCGAGAUGUCGGCGGAAACCAUCUGGCUAGAGUCCGGAAGAGGAGAGUGGAAUUCCUGGUGUAGCGGUGAAAUGCGCAGAUAUCAGGAAGAACACCCGUGGCGAAGGCGGCUCUCUGGGACGGUACUGACGCUGAGACGCGAAAGCGUGGGGAGCGAACAGG